UACGAAGGGGGGCUAGCGUUGUUCGGAAUUACUGGGCGUAAAGCGCGCGCAGGCGGUCUUCCAAGUCAGUGGUGAAAGCCCGGAGCUCAACUCCGGAACUGCCUUUAAGACUGCAUCGCUAGAAUCAUGGAGAGGUGAGUGGAAUUCCGAGUGUAGAGGUGAAAUUCGUAGAUAUUCGGAAGAACACCAGUGGCGAAGGCGAACUCACUGGACAUGUAUUGACGCUGAGGUGCGAAAAGCGUGGGGGAGCAAACAGGG
rnacentral:rRNA from 1 species